rnacentral:rRNA from 1 species
UUGGAGGGCAAGUCUGGUGCCAGCAGCCGCGGUAAUUCCAGCUCCAAUAGCGUAUAUUAAAGUUGUUGCAGUUAAAAAGCUCGUAGUUGAAUUUCGGGAUCAAUUAAUUGGUCGUGCCUCUGGUACGUACUGAUUUUAUUGGUUUCUCCCUUCUGAAGAACCAUGAUGUCAUUAAUUUGGUGUCGUGGAGAAUCAGGACUGUUACUUUGAAAAAAUUAGAGUGUUUAAAGCAAGCUAACGCUUGAAUACAUUAGCAUGGAAUAAUGAAAUAGGACGUUUGACCCUAUUUUGUUGGUUUCUAGGAUCGACGUAAUGAUUAAUAGGGAUAGUUGGGGGCAUUAGUAUUCAAUUGUCAGAGGUGAGAUUCUUGGAUUUAUUGAAGACUAACUGCUGCGAAAGCAUUUGCCAAGGAUGUUUUCAUUAAUCAAGAACGAAAGUUAGGGGAUCGAAGACGAUCAGAUACCGUCGUAGUCUUAACCAUAAACUAUGCCGACUAGGGAUCGGAUGAUGUUAAUUUUUUAAUGACUCAUUCGGCGCCUUACGGGAAACCAAAGUGUUUGGGUUC